GUCAAGUCAUCAUGCCCCUUAUGUCUUGGGCUGCACACGUGCUACAAUGGCCGGUACAAUGAGCUGCGAUACCGCGAGGUGGAGCGAAUCUCAAAAAGCCGGUCUCAGUUCGGAUUGGGGUCUGCAACUCGACCCCAUGAAGUCGGAGUUGCUAGUAACCGCGCGUCAGCCAUAGUGCGGUGAAUACGUUCCCGGGCCUU
rnacentral:rRNA from 1 species